GCCAGCUCCUGAGGAGUCAGAAACACCCACACUUGGGAGAUAGGACACCUUGAUUCUGGUUGAAUCCUUGCUGCAGAGCCAGAAAAAUAAACCUGGACUCAAAACGAAACAAAAGACAUGUAUGGAUGGAGCAGGUAAGGCAUUUCUACUCUGCAUCUGCACAGAAGUCUAAGCAGAACCCCUGAGAGGCUGAAGAGUAAUUACAUUUCUACUCUGGAUCUGUGUCUUAACCACAAGGAGUGUGUUCUGCAGGCUCUAUUUCAUAAUUGAAGGUGUAUUUACCUAAUAGUCAUAGAGGAAUCCAAAAGUAUGCCCU
rnacentral:lncRNA from 1 species